GCGUCCGAUUAGCUAGUGGGUGGGGUAACGGCCCACCAAGGCGACGAUCGGUAGCCGACCUGGGAGGGUGACCGGCCACAUUGGGACUGAGACACGGCCCAAACUCCUACGGGAGGCAGCAGUGGGGGAUAUUGCACAAUGGGGGGAACCCUGAUGCAGCGGCGCCGAAAGAAUGAAGAAGUAUCUCGGUAUGUAAAGCUCUAUCAGCAGGGAAGAAGCAAGACGGUACCUGACUAAGAAGCCCCGGCUAACUACGUGCCAGCAGCCGCGGUAAUACGUAGGGGGCGAGCGUUAUCCGGAUUUACUGGGUGUAAAGGGAGCGUAGACGGCAUGGCAAGUCUGGAGUGAAAGCCCGGGGCCCAACCCCGGGACUGCUCUGGAAACUGCCAUGCUAGAGUGCUGGAGAGGUAAGUGGAAUUCCUAGUGUAGCGGUGAAAUGCGUAGAUAUUA
rnacentral:rRNA from 1 species